GUCAUCUCCCUCGAUGGGAGAGCAGCCUUGCAGAGAAGGCUGGGCAUAACCAACUGUGUGAAAUUCUACAAAAGUAUUGAAAAAGUAUUGACAAGCCAAGCUCUUUCCUUUUGCUUUUCAGGUUACGUGAGGAUAGAAGCCAGAUUUUCCCAUCAGGGUUUUGUUUUGGUUCAAAGCUUUGCGAAAGGAACAAGCUGCUACGCAUCACCUCCUCUUGCCAUUGGUACAUGCAAGGCAACUCACUCCUCUCUCAUGGGCUGUUAGCCCUUCUGAAUUACAUCGUAUAUAUUGUGUGAUGGGAGCACACACAUAACCUGUUACUGGGCACCUCCACGGCGCAAACAUCCAUCUCUGAAUACCUAUCUCAUCUGCUUAAAUUAAAUCCCUGCUUCAGAGGAGAACUUCAGCUUUAGGAAACAGCUUCUGUUGUUCUGUGACUGCAGCUCGUAUCCUCACGUGCAACAAGAGACCAGUGCUCAAAAAGCUGGGAUAACCAUGCUAUUGAAUCAGGAAUAAUCUCCAGUUGCAGACAGAAAUGUAAGAGGAAUGCAUGUAUUCAGUGCUUCGGCUUCUUGCUCUUUCUGUGAGAUAUAUACCAUUUCCCACUGAGAUGAGUAGGUGUUAUACAGUCCCCAGCAGCGAGCAGAAAGUCUCCGAGGGAAGAACGAGUGCAUUUUCAAUCCUCACAGCAACAAAUCACACCCAUUCAGAAAUGCAGAGGAGCCAACAGAAGAUCUCUCCCAGUCGUAUUGCUUGCAUCUCUAAUUACAACUGCUGAUGUGGUGGUGGAUGGGGUGAUGAAGAAGGGGUGUCUGGCUCUGCUCCCAUCUGUGUCACUGGAGGAGUCAUCAGGAAAGAGCUCCUGUAAGCCAACAUCAGCUUCAAAUGAUGCUUCGAUUUCUCAGCUCCACGAGUCUUGUUAAUAAAGGAUGUGAAAUUGAAUUGGAAUUUCA
rnacentral:lncRNA from 1 species